UACAGAGGUGGCAAGCGUUGUUCGGAUUUAUUGGGCGUAAAGGGUCCGUAGGCGGCUUGGAAAGUCGGAUGUGAAAUCCCACAGCUUAACUGUGGAACUGCAUUCGAAACUUCCAGGCUCGAGUGUGAUAGGGGUAAAGGGAAUUCCCGGUGUAAGAGUGAAAUCUGUAGAGAUCGGGAGGAACACCAGUCGCGUAGGCGCUUUACUGGAUCACUACUGACGCUGAGGGGCGAAAGCCAGGGGAG
rnacentral:rRNA from 1 species